UGAUACGUACUGUAGUAGACAUCUGGAGUAUAGGCUAUAACGUGGUGAAGACUAGGGCUGAACAGACGGUUAUGGAGCCUUGUCAUCUACACAGGGAGAGGGGGUUGCAGAGAGGAGAAGAAUAUGUAAAGAGGACUAACCAGUCUCUAGGGCUGCUGACAACUUUGGCCAGGCUGAGGACAAAAUCAACAAAGAGGGAGCACGGUUCAAUACAGUGUAAUAAGGACCAAAGUCUGGGCCCCCUUUUUUCCCCUGGGCCUGGGGCAACUGACCCCUUUGUCAGAAUGGCUGGUGUGAGAUUUAGACAUCUGAUUUUCUUACAUCUUUUUUCUUUAUUCAUUAAAUCAAAAUACAGCAUA